GCUCAGGUGGUCUAGUGGUUAGAGCGUCCGCCUCGGAUGCGGGAGGUCGUGGGUUCGAAACCGGCUGAGCC